rnacentral:lncRNA from 10 species
GGGAAGACCAAUAUUAGCAACAAGAAGCCUCUGCCACCAUGGAAGAAGGAUCUGGAAAGAAGGAUGGGAUCUCAGCCUGAUGGCAGGUCUUACCCAAGAGGGAAUUUUUUUCUCAGGAGAGUGAAGAAAGCCUGGCUUUCCUCAUCAGCUCUCUUUGUGUUGAAUUCAUCAGUCAUGACAAUCAUUUGAGAAACCUUAGAAGAUCAUCCCAAACCUGGAAAAAGUCAGUUACAUUAGGAAAGGAGUGAGCAUAAAGAGCACCUACUAGAGAGAGGGUCCUUUCACACACAUGACCUCAUGUAACCUUCACAAUCAUGCCAUGAGAGUAUUUACAGCCUCUGCUGUUGCUCUGCUUCUAUCUGGUGGAUUAAGGAAAGUCACAACUCACAGCCCUAGUGGAAAGUUACAACUGGGAUUUGAGCUAACGAAGAGUUGAAGACUCAGCAACAGGCGCUUGGCUUCACUAUUAACCUGGACAAGGCCAUUAACUCGCCUGUACUUAAUUGGCUUGUUCUGUGACACACUGUUGCCCCAGAAACACCCAUAUGGGUGUACCCCACAUUAAAGAAGCCCGCUCUAUGAAAA